AUACGAAGGGUGCUAGCGUUGUUCGGAAUUACUGGGCGUAAAGAGCAUGUAGGCGGAUAGAUUAGUCAGAGGUGAAAGCCCCGAGCUCAACUCGGGAACUGCCUUUGAUACUGUUUAUCUAGAGACCGAGAGAGGUGAGUGGAAUUCUCAGUGUAGAGGUGAAAUUCGUAGAUAUUGGGAAGAACACCAGUGGCGAAGGCGGCUCACUGGCUCGGAACUGACGCUGAGAUGCGAAAGCGUGGGGAGCGAACAGGAUUAGAAACCCUAGUAGUCC
rnacentral:rRNA from 1 species